UAUAGUGAGAAAGAGAGAGAGGGAGAGAGAUUGAUGCAUUGAUUGAAAGAAAGAGAACACCGCGCGCGAAAGUAAGAUAGAAAGAAACUUGGUUGAGUUGGUAACGAAAAAAAAAUAAUAAUAAAAUGUUCCAGUAAUUAUAGCCGUAAUUAAUUAUGCUAUCCAAUUAAAUGCAAGAUAAUUCAAUAAUAAAAUAAUAAUAAUAAUUAAUACAUUAGAUCCUCCUCUCUAACCGUAGUUGGAAACAAUAAUUACACAAGUUGUUUAUGUCCUGUUGUAAUAUGCUACGAUUAAAAAUAAUAACCACAGUGUAGGUACAUUGUAAAGGUAUCCUAAUAAUUAAACACUGCAGUACUGCAUAACUAUUAUGAUUAUUAUGAUUAUUAUGAUUAUCAUUAUGAUUAUUAUUAUUAAACAAAAUAUAAUAUACUUAACGGUGUUUCUAGUGGAUUAAUUAAGCAUAAUAUAAUAUGAA